rnacentral:misc_RNA from 1 species
GAUGAAGAACGUAGCGAAAUGCGAUAAGUAAUGUGAAUUGCAGAAUUCAGUGAAUCAUCGAAUCUUUGAACGCACAUUGCGCCCGCCAGCAUUCUGGCGGGCAUGCCUGUGCGAGCGUCAUUUCAACCCUCGAGCCCCCCCGGGGGCCUCGGUGUUGGGGGACGGCACACCAGCCGCCCCCGAAAUGCAGUGGCGACCCCGCCGCAGCCUCCCCUGCGUAGUAGCACACACCUCGCACCGGAGCGCGGAGGCGGUCACGCCGUAAAACGCCCAACUUUCUUAGAGUUGACCUCGGAUCAGGUAGGAAUACCCGCUGAACUUAAGCAUAUCAAUAAGCGGAGGA